rnacentral:lncRNA from 1 species
GGGGAUCUCUAGCAUCUCUCUUUUUAUGUCACGCUAUGAUAUUCUUAACUUUGGCCCUUACGGAGUAGACAAACUCUCUGACUCCAAACGCCCACAGUACACAAAACAAAACGCCCCACACCAAAAUCUUUUUUGCGAUUUUAAAAUCUGCCACAAUUCGCAUUGUUGCCCAAAAGAUAAACGAUAAGGCAAGAGGAAAAUGAGAAUCCUAGGCACAAAAUAAUUAACUUCUUCACGUACCUCUUUUGAAGAAGAAGCUCAGAAAUUGAUCCCAAUUCCGAUAACCUUUUCCAACCAUGAAAAGAUUAAAAAAAGAACUACAAAUAUAAUUUUAUUUCGUAAUAAAGUAGUGUAGUUGUUUACAGCUUAAAGAAAAAGGUUAUGCGAUUAUUUAAUUACCAAGUUAAUUAUUAUGCUGGUUUAUGUAUUGCUUGCUUGUCGUUUAUUGCCCCGCUUUUAAAAAAAAUAAUAAAAAAAAUAAUAAUAAAUAAAAAAGGGGCCAUGGUUAGAAAGAACUUAGACCUCUCUUUCAUUUCCAAUAUUCUUUCAUUUGAUAGAUAGGUUAAAAUUCAAGCUUAAAAGCGAGUAUAAAGAUAAAGGAAAAAGACUAAUCAUAAGGGUCAAAUUUAUUAUUACAAAUAACUCCAAGAAAAAAGAAAUUAUUACAAAUGACCUUAGUUGUGAUUGAUUAUUAAUCUACCCUACUAGAUAUAUGAAAAUGAAAUAAAGGGUUGUUUCGAUGGAACCAACAUUUUUGUCCUCGUCAAGGAGCCAAGUUUACGAAAAUGAGUAAAACUCUAUCUAUUUGUUGUGAGGAGAAGGGUAGAUGGUUAUUUGGUCUUUUAAAGUGAAAAAGAUGAUGAAGCAAGUCUUUUUGUUCUCAUUUGGUAUAUGAUUAAAGUGCGUGACCCAGUAUAAAUAGCAACUUGUUGUCGUUUUGACAGUUCAUUAUGUGUCAAUUAUGAUCCUACUUGAGUUGGAAGCAACCAUGCAAAAUUGGGACAAGACAAGUUAAUUUUUCUGGUUUGUCAUAUAUAGCUGCC